GACGAACGCUGGCGGCGUGCUUAACACAUGCAAGUCGAACGGAAAGGCCCUGCUUUUGUGGGGUGCGCGAGUGGAGACCGGGUGAGUAACACGUGGGUAACCUGCAAUUGACUUAGGGAUAACUUAAGGAAAGUGGGGCUAAUACCGGCUAGGAGCUAUUGCUGCAUGGUGGGGGUUGGAAGGAUUAGUUGGUUGGGGAUGGACUAGCCGCUGAUCGGCUUGUUUGUGGGGUAGUGGCUUACCAAGGCUUUGACGGGUGGCCGGCCUGAUAGGGUGACCGGCCACAUUGGGACUGGGAUACGGCCCAGACUCCUACGGUACGCAGCGGUGGGGAAUGUUGCACAAGGCGCGGAAGCCUGAUGCAGCCACGCCACGUGCGGGAUGACGGCCUGCGGUUUGUAUACCGCUUUCGCCUUUGACGAAGCGUUAAUGACGGUAAUGGGUGAAUAAGCACCGGCUAACUACGUG
rnacentral:rRNA from 1 species